GACGAACGCUGGCGGCGUGCUUAACACAUGCAAGUCGAACGGAAAGGCCUGUCCUUCCUUGUGUUGGACGGGUACUCGAGUGGCGAACGGGUGAGUAACACGUGAGUGAUCUGCCCCCAACUUGGGGAUAAGCCUGGGAAACUGGGUCUAAUUCCCGAUAGGACUGCAGGGUGGUGCCUGUGGUGGAAAACGAUUUUCUAGUGGUUGGGGAUGAGCUCGCGGCCUAUCAGCUUGUUGGUGGGGUAAUGGCCUACCAAGGCGGCGACGGGUAGCCGGCCUGAGAGGGUGGACGGCCACAUUGGGACUGAGAUACGGCCCAGACUCCUACGGGAGGCAGCAGUGGGGAAUAUUGCACAAUGGGCGGAAGCCUGAUGCAGCGACGCCGCGUGGGGGAUGACGGCCUUCGGGUUGUAAACUCCUUUCGACCGCGAGGAAGCCGCGUGGUUGGAAGGGUGGUGACGGUAGUGGUAGAAGAAGCACCGGCUAACUACGUG
rnacentral:rRNA from 1 species